UUUAAUCCAAAUAUACACUCUAUCACACCAAUUGCACCGCAUUUCAAAGUUAAAUUUUAUUCAACAAUACACUUCAUAAAUUCGUAAACACAUUUUCUUACCAUAUUGUUUAUCUGUUGUGUUUUAAUCUUUCAUGUCUUGAGAGGUUUGAACUAAUUAGUAAAAAUUGGUUACUUUUACUUUUGUUUUAAUCUUUCAUGUCAUUCAAGAUUUGAACAAUAUGGUAAUACUGAUUAGUUUUUUUUAAUCUAAAAUGCUUACUAAAUAUGCUAGGAGGACAAUACAACACAUUUUCUACCACUAUAUAAAGGACACUAUUGUUUAAUUGAUGUAAGGAGAGUUUGAACUUUAAAAGAUAUAAAUUGAUAAAACUAUUUCUUAAAUACAAAGGAAGAAAAAUGGCUGGAAUUAUCAAGUUUAUUCUUACUAUAAUUAUCUUUAUUUCUCUAUUGAUGGUGCCAUCCAACGCUGCAAGUAAGUUAAUUUUUUAAGAUUUAAAAAAUUUCCUUGUUACUUUGUACACAAUGUUUUAUCAAAUAUUAGCUAAACUUUUAUUCUUAUUUUUUCAAUAUAGAAACUGUUAAAUGUAUACAAGAUACAGAUUGUUUACAAUAUCAUAGGUGUAUGCCACCAAUGCUAAUGAAGUGUGACAAUAAACAAUGUAGAUGUGUUCCAGUGACCUAUUUCAUUCGUUAUGUUCCCGUAUGAUUCUUCAUAUUAAGUUCUCAUAUGGUUCUGCAUUUAGUGUUGUACCUAAGAGAUUAUUGUAUUGCUAUAUUAUAAUUUGUUUUUUUAUUUUUCAUUUCAAGAAUUUUGUAGUUAAGUUUAAUUUUAUUUAAAUCGAGUUCUUCUCUUUUAAUUUCAAAAUAUAUUCAUAGAUUUCAUUCCAGGUAUGUAUCAUGGUCAUUUCAAUCCUACCAUCUAUUAGAAUAAUACGUGUAAUAGUUAAGUUGAAUAACUGUUAUAUUGCUUAUAAGUCUGCACGUUUUUUUACAUGUUCAUGUUAUAGUAUCAAUACACUUCCCACCUUCAAUUUUCAUUUCUCUUAUAUUUUAAAUCUUUUAUUGGUCUCAUAUGUACUAUUCAAUUUUAAAAGAUAUGAAAAUAUAGAUAUUCACUAUAAAAAUGUAAAAAUCUAUUGUUAUAAGUGCAUAUUUUAUAGAAGAUUUGUUUAUGUUUCUACUUACUAACUAAAUAUAAUGUGUGGUUAAUAUAUUUUCUAUUUCAAAAGAAAUCUCGUAUAACUAAAUUGAAUUAGAUUAUGUAAGGUUAUAAUUUAUUAUAAAAUUUACAUGUAAUUUAAAAUGAAUAUGUUUCAAAAGACGUUUUUUUAUAUCUUUAAUUUUCUAUGAUUUUGUUGGGUUUUUUUUGAGAGGGGUAUAUAAAUUUGCAUUAUUAUUAUUAUUAUUAUUUUUAUUUUCUAAUUUUUAUAUUUAAAUUGGGGUGUGAGUUUUCUGGUGAGUAUGGGUGGUUGAGAGUUUCGUUAAAUUUAAAUUUAUUAAAUGAUUUAGAUUAUAAAAAAAAGUGUGAGAUAGAUGAAAAUGUAAGGUUUGGGAGAUAAGAAUUUUUUUUAACUGCGUCACAUGUAUAUGUGUGUGAUCAUAUAUGUAUUAAUUGUUUUGAUAUUACAUAUAAUUGGAUAUAAAGGUAAGCUAAUGGAUUAUCAUAGUAUAUUGUUUGUCCAUAACAAUUUAAUUUUGAAGAGUCAUAGUACAUCUUAAAAAACAACAUAGUAAACAUUGUUGUUUGUAAAAAAAAUUAGUGACAGUUAAGAAGAAUUUUUAUAAGGUUCCACAUAAUUAAUGAACUAGAAUAUAAAUAUAAUACAACCUAAGAGUACAUUAAUGAGCUUUGAAUAUGUACUAAUAUACACACAAAAAAGAUAUAAAUUAUGACAUAUCAUCUACAAAAUGAUUUUAACCUUUUGAAAUUUAUAGACCAUGACCAAAACCACCGGCUCACCUCCAAAAGAAUAACACUAAGUUAGCAUCAUAUAUGGAUUAUAAUAUGUUUGACACGCCACACACAAGAGGGAGUGACUCUUGGAUUUAAGAAAAGCAUCUUAUGUUAUCAUUUUUAAAGUUUAAAAAUAUCUUGAUUAAAAUAUUUAUAAAUUAGCAACGGAAAGUAAAUAUGUGAAAAAUUAAGAGUUAAGGGUAAGAGAAAUGAAAACAAAUAUUUAAACAGGUUCAAUCAAGAAGACUUAUUCAUGUCCAUAAUAUUUGAUCUUAAGAGUAUUCAGUAAUACUUAGAGAGUUUUGAGUAGGUUAAAAUCUUGAACCCACUAAUACAAGAAAAAAUGAAGUUUCAAAUUAACUUUCAACCAAACAAUGAACGAUGGAGUGAAGUGGUUAGUCUUCCUUCCAAAGAACGAACUUGAAGUGAUUAGUCUCAAAGCUAAAUCGUGAUUUUCUAUGGACUUGUCUCGAACCAAUAUGAGUUUUUAAUCUAACUAAAUUGGGGUUUUGACCAGACUGACCAUGAACCAAGAUGAGAUUUUUAAUCAUGCUUAUCUUGAACCCAAGUGAGUUUUUAACCAUGUUUAAAUCAUGAACUGAGUUGAUAUUUUGAAUAUGGUUGAUACCAAGCCAAAGUAAGCUUUUAACGUGGGUUGAGCUUAAAAGCCGAACUGACGACUUAGAAACUAAAUCUCCAAACCAAAGCUUUUAAAGGGUUUAACUUUUAAAGAGUGAUGAAUGAGAUACAAGGAUUACUUUUAUGGAUAUGAAAAUGUGAAAGAAAAUGCCUCUAUUUAUAGGCUAAAGCUUUGAUCAAAAAAGGAAAUAUCCAUGAGCCUAAAUUAAUGAGCCAAUCGAUUGACUUCUUGUCCCAACUAAUUGAGAGGCAAAAAUAAACGAUCAUAAAUGCUUAAAAUGGAAAUAAUAGAUACAUAGUUGUUUCCCUUUAUUAAGACAUUGUAACAAUUGAUAAGAACAUCUCUUGCACUAACCUAAUCGAUUGUGUAUACGUGUCAAUCUAUUGGACAAUUCAAAAACAUAUCCAAAACUAUUCUGACAUUUCCUUAUUCAACUAGAACGUCUCUAUAAAAAAUUUAGGAAUGUUUUCUUAAGAAAUAGAGGUUUAAAAAAUUAUGUGUGUGUAUGUAUGUGUGUGUGUGUGAGUGUAAUAUGCUCUUAAAUAUAUUUUGAAUGAUGUCAAUACUAGGUAGUUUAGAUCUUUGUGUAUUUGGACCUUACAAUCUUUGUGAAAAUGUGCAUCAUCAUCAUAGAAUAUGUAAGAUUAGAUUACAUAAGUCAUCAUAUGCCAAAAUAUAAGUUUUUCACAAAACAAUCAUGCAUGGGUCGAUAUAACCUCAGUAUGGGUCGAUACAUACUGAGUGGAAUUUCAAAGAAUUUGGAUCUGCCUUGAAUGGGUUGAUAUAAGGGAGAAAUCGGUUGAUAUAUUAUGCUUAAUGGGUUGACUCAUUCUUGCUUGGGUCGACUCAAUCUGAAAGAUGUUUUCAGAAUUUUCCACUGCCUCUAAUGGGUCAAUACAAAGUUGAAAUGGUUCAAUAUAUUAGGCGAAUGGGUCGACUCUCCUGUGUUUGGAGUGGACUCAUUCUGAAACAUUUAUUUCCCAAAUUAGCUACUGCCUCUAACGUAUCGACUCUAUUUGGUAUCGUAUUGACUCACUCAACUUAUGUAUUGACUCAUUCAAGUUUAGAGUCAAUACAUUAUGAACUAUCAAAAACACAUACCUUCACGGUUGGCAAAGAUGUAUAAUCACUAAGGACCACCUGUUGUUAAGUAGUGUGUGGUUUGUUAAUGGCCAAAUUGUGUAAAUAAUCCAUAGUAUUUUGUGGCUCUUUUCACUUAAUCUAAAUGGAAUAUCUUGUUAGAACCUUAGUUUUAAGUGUAAAUAUGUAGGUUUUAACAUUAUCAUGUAAAUAUCUUUUGUUUGAUCAUUUUGAUGCAAAUUUGUAGGCUUCAAAGCCUAUUGGAAAAAUAAACAAUGUAGAUGUGUUCCAGUGACCUAUUUCAUUCGUUAUGUUCCCGUAUGAUUCUUCAUAUUAAGUUCUCAUAUGGUUCUGCAUUUAGUGUUGUACCUAAGAGAUUAUUGUAUUGCUAUAUCAUAAUUUGUUUUUUUAUUUUUCAUUUCAAGAAUUUUGUAGUUAAGUUUAAUUUUAUUUAAAUCGAGUUCUUCUCUUUUAAUUUCAAAAUAUAUUCAUAGAUUUCAUUCCAGGUAUGUAUCAUGGUCAUUUCAAUCCUACCAUCUAUUAGAAUAACACGUGUAAUAGUUAAGUUGAAUAAUUGUUAUAUUGCUUAUAAGUCUGCACGUUUUUUUACAUGUUCAUGUUAUAGUAUCAAUACACUUCCCACCUUCAAUUUUCAUUUCUCUUAUAUUUUAAUUCUUUUAUUGGUCUCAUAUGUACUAUUCAAUUUUAAAAGAUAUGAAAAUAUAGAUAUUCACUAUAAAAAUGUAAAAAUCUAUUGUUAUAAGUGCAUAUUUAAUAGAAGAUUUGUUUAUGUUUCUACUUACUAACUAAAUAUAAUGUGUGGUUAAUAUAUUUUCUAUUUCAAAAGAAAUCUCGUAUAACUAAAUUGAAUUAGAUUAUUGUAAGGUUAUAAUGUAUUAUAAAAUUUACAUGUAAUUUAAAAUGAAUAUGUUUCAAAAGACGUUUUUUUAUAUCUUUAAUUUUCUAUGAUUUUGUUGGGUUUUUUUUUAGAGGGGUAUAUAAAUUUGCGUUAUUAUUAUUAUUAUUAUUAUUAUUAUUUUUAUUUUCUAAUUUUUAUAUUUAAAUUGGGGUGUGAGUUUUCUAGUGAGUAUGGAUGGUUGAGAGUUUCGUUAAAUUUAAAUUUAUUAAAUGAUUUAGAUUAUAAAAAAAAAGUGUGAGAUAGAUGAAAAUGCAAGGUUUGGGAGAUAAGAAUUGUUUUUAACUGCGUCACAUGUAUAUGUGUGUGUGAUCAUAUAUGUAUUAAUUGUUUUGAUAUUACAUAUAAUUGGAUAUAAAGGUAAGCUAAUGGAUAAUCAUAGUAUAUUGUUUGUCCAUAACAAUUUAAUUUUGAAGAGUCAUAGUACAUCUUAAAAAACAACAUAGUAAACAUUGUUGUUUGUAAAAAAAAUUAGUGACAGUUAAGAAGAAUUUUUAUAAGGUUCCACAUAAUUAAUGAACUAGAAUAUAAAUAUAAUACAACCUAAGAGUACAUUAAUGAGCUUUGAAUAUGUACUAAUAUACACAUAAAAAAGAUAUAAAUUAUGACAUAUCAUCUACAAAAUGAUUUUAACCUUUUGAAAUUUAUAGACCAUGACCAAAACCACCGGCUCACCUCCAAAAGAAUAACACUAAGUUAGCAUCAUAUAUGGAUUAUAAUAUGUUUGACACGCCACACACAAGAGGGAGUGACUCUUGGAUUUAAGAAAAGCAUCUUAUGUUAUCAUUUUUAAAGUUUAAAAAUAUCUUGAUUAAAAUAUUUAUAAAUUAGCAACGGAAAGUAAAUAUGUGAAAAAUUAAGAGUUAAGGGUAAGAGAAAUGAAAACAAAUAUUUAAACAGGUUCAAUCAAGAAGACUUAUUCAUGUCCAUAAUAUUUGAUCUUAAGAGUAUUCAGUAAUACUUAGAGAGUUUUGAGUAGGUUAAAAUCUUGAACCCACUAAUACAAGAAAAAAUGAAGUUUCAAAUUAACUUUCAACCAAACAAUGAACGAUGGAGUGAAGUGGUUAGUCUUCCUUCCAAAGAACGAACUUGAAGUGAUUAGUCUCAAAGCUAAAUCGUGAUUUUCUAUGGACUUGUCUCGAACCAAUAUGAGUUUUUAAUCUAACUAAAUUGGGGUUUUGACCAGACUGACCAUGAACCAAGAUGAGAUUUUUAAUCAUGCUUAUCUUGAACCCAAGUGAGUUUUUAACCAUGUUUAAAUCAUGAACUGAGUUGAUAUUUUGAAUAUGGUUGAUACCAAGCCAAAGUAAGCUUUUAACGUGGGUUGAGCUUAAAAGCCGAACUGACGACUUAGAAACUAAAUCUCCAAACCAAAGCUUUUAAAGGGUUUAACUUUUAAAGAGUGAUGAAUGAGAUACAAGGAUUACUUUUAUGGAUAUGAAAAUGUGAAAGAAAAUGCCUCUAUUUAUAGGCUAAAGCUUUGAUCAAAAAAGGAAAUAUCCAUGAGCCUAAAUUAAUGAGCCAAUCGAUUGACUUCUUGUCCCAACUAAUUGAGAGGCAAAAAUAAACGAUCAUAAAUGCUUAAAAUGGAAAUAAUAGAUACAUAGUUGUUUCCCUUUAUUAAGACAUUGUAACAAUUGAUAAGAACAUCUCUUGCACUAACCUAAUCGAUUGUGUAUACAUGUCAAUCUAUUGGACAAUUCAAAAACAUAUCCAAAACUAUUCUGANAACGAACUUGAAGUGAUUAGUCUCAAAGCUAAAUCGUGAUUUUCUACGGACUUGUCUCGAACCAAUAUGAGUUUUUAAUCUAACUAAAUUGGGGUUUUGACCAGACUGACCAUGAACCAAGAUGAGAUUUUUAAUCAUGCUUAUCUUGAACCCAAGUGAGUUUUUAACCAUGUUUAAAUCAUGAACUGAGUUGAUAUUUUGAAUAUGGUUGAUACCAAGCCAAAGUAAGCUUUUAACGUGGGUUGAGCUUAAAAGCCGAACUGACGACUUAGAAACUAAAUCUCCAAACCAAAGCUUUUAAAGGGUUUAACUUUUAAAGAGUGAUGAAUGAGAUACAAGGAUUACUUUUAUGGAUAUGAAAAUGUGAAAGAAAAUGCCUCUAUUUAUAGGUUAAAGCUUUGAUCAAAAAAGGAAAUAUCCAUGAGCCUAAAUUAAUGAGCCAAUCGAUUGACUUCUUGUCCCAACUAAUUGAGAGGCAAAAAUAAACGAUCAUAAAUGCUUAAAAUGGAAAUAAUAGAUACAUAGUUGUUUCCCUUUAUUAAGACAUUGUAACAAUUGAUAAGAACAUCUCUUGCACUAACCUAAUCGAUUGUGUAUACAUGUCAAUCUAUUGGACAAUUCAAAAACAUAUCCAAAACUAUUCUGACAUUUCCUUAUUCAACUAGAACGUCUCUAUAAAAAAUUUAGGAAUGUUUUCUUAAGAAAUAGAGGUUUAAAAAAUUAUGUGUGUGUAUGUAUGUGUGUGUGUGUGAGUGUAAUAUGCUCUUAAAUAUAUUUUGAAUGAUGUCAAUACUAGGUAGUUUAGAUCUUUGUGUAUUUGGACCUUACAAUCUUUGUGAAAAUGUGCAUCAUCAUCAUAGAAUAUGUAAGAUUAGAUUACAUAAGUCAUCAUAUGCCAAAAUAUAAGUUUUUCACAAAACAAUCAUGCAUGGGUCGAUAUAACCUCAGUAUGGGUCGAUACAUACUGAGUGGAAUUUCAAAGAAUUUGGAUCUGCCUUGAAUGGGUUGAUAUAAGGGAGAAAUCGGUUGAUAUAUUAUGCUUAAUGGGUUGACUCAUUCUUGCUUGGGUCGACUCAAUCUGAAAGAUGUUUUCAGAAUUUUCCACUGCCUCUAAUGGGUCAAUACAAAGUUGAAAUGGUUCAAUAUAUUAGGCGAAUGGGUCGACUCUCCUGUGUUUGGAGUGGACUCAUUCUGAAACAUUUAUUUCCCAAAUUAGCUACUGCCUCUAACGUAUCGACUCUAUUUGGUAUCGUAUUGACUCACUCAACUUAUGUAUUGACUCAUUCAAGUUUAGAGUCAAUACAUUAUGAACUAUCAAAAACACAUACCUUCACGGUUGGCAAAGAUGUAUAAUCACUAAGGACCACCUGUUGUUAAGUAGUGUGUGGUUUGUUAAUGGCCAAAUUGUGUAAAUAAUCCAUAGUAUUUUGUGGCUCUUUUCACUUAAUCUAAAUGGAAUAUCUUGUUAGAACCUUAGUUUUAAGUGUAAAUAUGUAGGUUUUAACAUUAUCAUGUAAAUAUCUUUUGUUUGAUCAUUUUGAUGCAAAUUUGUAGGCUUCAAAGCCUAUUGGAAGAAUGACAAAUAUAAAGGCACCAAGCAAGACCCAAAGUUUCAACUUUGAAGAUUCCAAGUUUUCCUAAGUGGGCUAAGCGCGGUCCUCACACGCUUAGAGAACGAGGGGCAGGAGGAAAAUGGGAAAUUCGCGCUAGGAGCGCGCUUAGCAUGAAUCAAGGCGGUUUAAGUUAUGUUUUGCUAAGCACUCUUUGAUGCGGCUUAACACAAUUUCACUUUUUGGCCCAUUCUAUAUAUACUUUUGGAUAUAUAUUUUGGAUCAUAUCUCACUCCAACUUUAUUCAAAAGGUACUUUCAGAUAAAAAAUCAUCAAGAACUCAGAAUCAAGAUUUCGAAGCAUCAAUCUUUGAGGUUUUCAACAUUGAUGCUUGCGAAUCUCUUCUUGUUAAUCGUUGAAGAAGCUACCAUGGUUAUGGGUAGAUAAACCUUCUUGUAUCAAAAUUAGAUUUAAUCAAUCUUAACUUGUAUGUAUUCCUUUUGAUCUUUUGUAUGUGAACAACUUGAUAAUCAAUGUAGAUGAUAAUCUUUGCUUUUAUUGAAUAUUUGUGGUUUAAAACAUUGUUGAGAAAGAUAUUUUAAGUCUUGACAUAAGUUAAUCAUCUAUCAAAGAACAAGUCUAGACAUGGAAGUGGAAUUUGAUAUUCACUUUGUAUCGAAUCAUUAAUGUUAUUUGUAUUAUUUAAUAGGUUGAGACAUCGUUGAUUAAAUAAUACGGUAAAACUCGUAAUAUCGUCUUAGAUAUGAGAGGUAUAGUUGACUGAUAUAUGGUUAUGUUAAUUAUAAAAUAAGUUCACAUGUUUGAUUAAUCAAAUACAUACAAAAUAGGUUGAUGAAAUCUAGUCUUGAUAUGUCUUUUAAAAUGUUAAUCUUUCUAAACUUUUAUCAUUGCUACAAACUCUUAUGAAUGUUACUUUCACCAAACCAAAACCAUUCGAAACCCUUGCUUAAGACAUUAUAAACUGUAAAAAAGGCAUUAAUAUAACAUCAAUACAUAUGGAGACAAUAAAAUAAAUACUCACGGAAAAACACUUUUCAACAAAAUGGCGUCGUUGCCGAGGAUUGUUGUUAUGAUAUUGCAAGCAUUGCAAUAGUUUAUCUUGUUUUAUGUUUUUUUAUUGUUAUCUCUUAUCUAAUUUCUUAUCCAUUGUGUUUUUUAAUUUGCUUGGUUAGUGUUUCAGAACUUAGUUUAUGCGAGGAAAUGUAGCCGAAGAUCAACUUCUUUUUUAUCCUGAGAUUGAAAGAACUGCUCGUAGACUUAAUAGCAAAACAAGAAGGAGAAGACAACUAGCUAAUUAAAUGAGAUAACGUGAAGGAAAUUCAGUUGGUACUUCAUCAACAACUCCUAUUUUUAUACAGGUCAUGGCAGAUUCACCUCGUCCUCUAGAACCUCCCAGAGGUCCUUGUAUAAAUAGCCCGGGGAGAAAUGCUCAGUUUGCUAGAAUUGCAAACAAUGGAAGACAUGCAGGUAUGAAGAUUGGGAUACUUCAACUUUUGUAUGCAAACCCCUUCACAUGGCUUGAUCAUGAAGAUCCUUACACCCACCUUACCAAAUUCUAUGAGAUUGCUGGUACAAUUGGAGCCCCAAAAGCGGAAGAAGAGCAAGUGUUCAAGAGACUAUUCCCAUAUUCUUUAAAUGGAAAAGCAAAAGAAUAGUAUCUUGAUCAACCUACUUAAACAAUGACCGAUUGGAAUGUGUUAGAGGAAAUAUUUCUUGAGAGAUUCUUUACACACAAUAGGUUCAUGGAAGCAAAGACUUCAGUUGUGGUUUUCUCACAAGGUGCAAGUGAAUCUCUUAAUGAAGCUUGGGAGCGGUUCAAGUCAAUGUUAAGGAAAUGUCAAGGUCAUGGUUUUGAUGAACUUACUCAAAUUCAUAUCUUUCGCCAUGGACUUAAACCACAACCUAAAACUCUAUUGAAUGUUAUCAUAGGUGGUUCUCUGAUGUCAAAGAGUGCGGAAGAAGUAAUAGCCAUUAUUGAUAGAGUGUCACUCAACGAUCAUCAUGGCCAAUCCGAUCGAGGUACGACAUAAAGGAAACCAGGAAUCAUUGAAUUUGGCACAAAAGAUGUAAUUCUAGCCCCCAAAAAUUGUUAUCUCAACAGGUGGAGUUACUCACACAAUAAAUGUCGAAGCUCCCACAACAAAUCAAAGAGAUGUAAGAGAUUCCUAAAAAGCAUCAACAAGUUGCUUCUUGUGAAUUGUGUAAAGGAGAUCAUCCUACAGGUUAUUGUCCUUUGGUUGGAGAGGAAGUGAAUUAUAUGGGAGAUCCAACUCAAAGUCAACGUUAUCAACCAAGGGAAGCACCUUAUCAAAACACCAAGGUUACCAACAAAGAAAACAUAACCAAGGUUAUCAACAAGGUUAGAGACAAGAGGUCAGACCGUCAAAUCGUCUAAAUCCUUAUCAAAACUACACUCAACCUCCACAAUCUCAAGGUGGAAGUUCAAAGAUAGAAGACACUCUCAUCCAAUUCAUAUAGAUGUCAAUGGCUAACCAAAAGAGUAUCGAUGCAGCCAUUAAAAAUCUUGAGAUUCAAGUUGGUCAAUUGUUUAAGCAAUUAGCCGAUCAACACAAAAGAACUUUUUCUUCCAACACUCAAGACAACCCGAAGGAGCAUUGCACGUAUAUUCUAACUCGUAGUGGUAGAAAAAUUGGAAUGGGAAUUGGUGAUGAAGUGAAUGAAGAGGAAAUUGUAGUAGAAAAGGAGAAGGAAAAAUAUGAGAUUGAAGUAGAAAAAAGUGUUAAGGGAGAAUUAGUUGAAAAAGAGAAAAGUGAGAAAGAAGAAGUAGAAAGGAUAAAUAGAGAUGAAAGGAAGAAAAAGAAUCAAAAGGGUAAGGAGAAGUUUAAUAAUAUUAAAAUUCAAAAUUUUCCAUAUCCUCAUGUUCCUUCCAAAAAGGACAAUGCUAGGCACUAUGCUCGAUUCUUGGAUAUAUUUAGUUAGUUACAGAUUAAUAUUCCAUUUUUCGAGGACCUUGAGCAAAUGCCUGCAUAUGCAAAUUUCAUGAAGGAUGUCCUUACAAAGAAGAGAAGAUAUAUGGAUCAAGAAACAAUCAUUAUUGAUGCUAGUUGUAGCACAAUCAUUUAAAGGAAGAUACCGCGGAAUGAAAGUGAUCUGGGAAGGGUUGCAUUACCGGUCAUAAUAGGAAAUGUUUACAUUGGAAAAGGUUUGAUUGAAUUGGGGUCUAACAUCAACUUGAUUUCGUUAUCCGUUGUGAAAAGGUUAGGAAGCAUUGAGUUAAAAAUAACAAGGAUGAGAUUGUAAUUGGUCAACAAGUCUAUAACUCGUCCUUAUGGAGUAGCGAAACACAUGUUAGUAAUAGUGGAUAAAUUCUUGUUCCCGAUUGACUUUGUUGUUAUUGACAUGGAGAGAGACGAUGAUGCACCAUUGAUUCUUGGUCGACCUUGUAGCGGUAAAUUCAUGACCAUCAAGGGUAAGCUUAACUUCAAUAAAACCAUAGUCGCCACCACACUUUUAUUGUUUCCAAAGGAAAAGGGAAAAGUACGAACAAAACCCAAAGACAAGAAGUUUUCAAGUCAAAACUAAUAAAAUUCCAGAGAUUACACAUAAGGGGGUUGGUUAUACAAAGGGAAGGUGUUAGCAUUUAAAGUGUCAUAGGUACUCCUAGGGAGCCCUUUUUUAUGUGUGUAUGUGUGUUUGGUAUAAAAUAUGUUUGAAAAACAGAGUGUGGGGAUGAGAAAAUAAUUCAUUGAUUAUAUUUUUGUGUUUGACAAGACCUUCAGACUUCUGCCUACGUACCGACAUAAAAAUGAGGGAUCAAAAUCUGGUAGUUCGUGGUAUCAAUUUCAAAAUGAGUGGAUUGAUUUUAAUCAAAAUUUAAUUUAAAGAGGCACAAAGGGACCAAAAGCUUGAAUGAUGUUGUAAGACCCCAAUUUUGACCCUAAGAUCCCUCAUGCAUUUUCAUCAUAAGCAUUGGCAUUGGGAUCAUGCCUUGGCCUCUUCCUUACCCCUCAUUCAUUGGGUUUAUUUUGGGUAGAGAUCACCAAGAACUUUGUGAUUGUAUCAUACUUGUAUUUUAUCAUUUCACUAACCAAAAUAUCAAAAAUAUGUCUUUGCAUUUGCCUAACUCUUUUGCAGGUAGGGCAUGAUCUUAUUGAUUCAUCAAGUUCACAUCUAGGGUUUGAGACCCUCAUAAACAAAUAGCACAACCAAGAAUUGAUUCAAGAAUGGUUAUAAGCAACAUAUAUGAGUCCCAAUGAUUUCUACAUGUUAUAUUGAUCAAUUUUUCUUCAAGAGUUUGAGGGUGAUUUGCCUUGGAAACCCUAGUUUGACUAGGUAUCUUUAGUAACUUCUCCAACAAGCUAUCUCACCAAUUGAUCAAUUUUCUCAAGGGACACUUCAAAUAUAAUUUUCUUAUGCAUAUAUUCUCUACCAUGGGCCAAGAAAGUCAAGAGAAUUGGAAAUUAGCAAGUUGGUUGAUGGUGGUUGGCCAGAUGAAUUCAUCUGAUAAAAACUGGGUCUCCCUAGACCCUAUCUCCUACAAUUUUCACCAUAUGAAAAUGAUUCCAACAUAAAACUUAAUCUAAAUGACAUUCCAAACAACUUUCAUGUUGAGACCUAGAGCUAUUUUUGCUUGUAAAAUCAUUUUCUAUGUUGAAACAUUAUAGGUCAUUUUGUCUAAACCCUUAAUUGAAAGUCAACUUCCCAAGGUCAUAACUUGCUCAAUUUCUAUGAGAUGAAAUAUUUCCAAGUUGCACAAUCAAAUUAAAUGUGUCUAAUUCAACUUUUUUGUUUGGAGUGGGAGCUAAUUCAACUUUUUUUGAGCAUGUGAUAUGAGGCUACAUUAUAGGUCACUUUUGACCUAUACCAUUGAUCAAGUGAUUUUUCCAAACUUCAGAAAUGCAUAACUCUAUCAUUUGAAAUCCAAAUGACAUGAAAUUUGUGACCAUUUUUAAGGUCUUUGAGAGAUACAAAACUUUGAUAAAGACACCUUUCUCAUCGGAAGCUCAUAUAAAAAGUUAAGCAAGGUGGAAUAUUGAGACAUAUGGCUUGACACUUAGAAAAAUUUUGAUAUGUCAAAUUUUUCCAAACUUCCACCUCAAAUUUCUCCAAGUUCCAAGCUCCAAAUGAAAACAUGUUGAACAUCAAAGUUGUUCCUCUUGAUCUCACCUUUCCAAAACGUUCAAAUUCAUUCAUUUUGGAUGAGAAAUGCAUAGGCUGCGCAUGGCUUAAACAGGCUGAUACCAUUUGGCAUGAAUCAAUCUUCAAACACCAAUGUACAUUUGCCUUGCAAUCCAAGCCAACUUCAAACCAUCUGAUAUGCAAUUUUGGACCUCAGGCUAUCAUUUCAUGGACCUAUGUGCGCCCAUGCACCAUUACAUCAUCAUUUGCCAAUUUUGGAAAGUGAAAGUGAGUGUGCAAUUAUCAACCAAUUCAGCUAUAAAUAGAGCUCCAAUUGCGCCAGCUUUGAUCCCCCAUUGAAAACCCUAACUUCUCAAAGGAUAAACCAGAUAAAUUUGUUUGAAUUUCAGCUUGAAUCUCCAUUGUUUUGGAAUUCAAUUCUCCUGGAAUUCAUUGCUUCUAAACCAUUCAAUCCUUCUCCUGCAAGCAAGUUGAGUGAGUCCAAGCACAAGCAAGAUCAAGAUCCAUCGAAUUCAGACCUCCAUUGAAGGUAUUUUUCAUAAAUUUUAAACUCUUCGAUUCUCUUAAAUUCUUGCUCAAUUCCAUUGAUUCUUUGGUUGUCUGAAGUCCUACCAAUAUAGGCAAGAAGAUUGAGUUGCUUUGAGGUCAAAUCGAAGCAACUCAGUUCAUGUACCUCAAAUUUCAAUUCCACAUAUCUCUCAAUAUAUUGGAAUUGGAAAUGAAUGAAUGGCCUCGAAGUGACUUUGCAACCCUCUGAACCAAUGAUCCUCCCUCUCACGUUUUAAUCCCUGAGCGUUGGUUGUUGACUACACAUUUGCCACGCAGUGUGACAUCACGUCUAUGUGGAAUGCACGCUUGGAUCAUUCAGAUCUACAACCUCAUUAAUGAGGAGCAUCUGAGGUCCACGUAAUUUAGAAAUUUUCUGAAUGUUCAACUUUCAUUGCAUUUUCUUUCAAUACUUCAUUAUUAAAUUCAAUAUUGAUCAAAAAAUAUGGGACUUUCACCGAAAAAAAUUCAAACCAAAAUUUCUCUUUUUUCAUAUUCUGAAUUAAAAUAUUUUUUUUGAAAAUUUCAAAAAUUAUUAAUAUUUUUCAUAAAUUAUUGAUUUUGCAUUGUUUUUUAAAUGUUUAAAAUAUUUUUAAAUGUCCAAAAAUUAUGAAAAUUUUUUCUCCAUGGUCCUUUGAACCUUGUUUGACCUAUGAUAAAUCUCAUGUCCAUUUAAUUUGGUGUUUUGAUGAGAUUUUAGGAAUUGGACAACAUAUUUUGAAUAAAAUGCACAUUUUAUUAUUUUUAAUUGAAUAAAUGUCAUUUAAAUUGUUUUGACCAUUUGUAUUGAUCUUAAUUAUGUUUGAAUUUGUUUGUUGUUGGCCUUGGUCAAGUUAAUAUCAUUGGAUUUAGGGAUUGAAUGGAAUGUACAUUCCGUCUCCCCAAAAUGAAAUGAAUAUAUUAAUUUGGGUAAAAGUCCUCCUUUGACCAAUUUGUGAUCUCAUUCAUCCCCUUCUCAUUUCAUCUCAUUCCUCUUCUUAAUUCAUUCAUUUCAUUUGGCCUAUGACAUCUCAAAGUCCUAAUGCUAGUUGAUUAAAAAAUUGACAUGAGUAUGGAUGAGAUUAGGCCACACCUUUUGCAUAUUUUGUGUGUGUGGUAUGUUUCAUGAGUAUAGUCCAUUUUACUAUGUCUCUAACAUGCAUUAACACCAAAAUUCUAUUGCCCGACCUCAAAUAGUUGUGACUUCUACAUAAGUUCAAUUACGAUUGCUUAACAUAGCGCUAAAUUUGUGACAUAAAAGGCAUAAGCAUUCUAGUUAGUGAGAUUGUAAGUUUCCCCUCUUUCAUGGUAUUGUGUGGAAACUUGGCCUUCUUUCCUUCCUUUUGAAGAUCUUUUGGUUCAAGGAUCCAUGCUUGUGAUAAGUGGGUUGAGUGUUCUCCAAAGAAUGUCUUGAAAAAAGCAAAAAAAAAAAGCAAAACAUAACUAAAUUCUAACCUACUAACUACUAACUUUUAAUUUCAAGCUUUUACUUUAAUGCAAUUUACUUUUAGCACUUUAUAUCAUUUGCCAUUAUACACAUCAUUCUAAUUAUUUAUGUUAAUGUAAUUUUCACUUUGUCCAUUUGGACCAUAUUGUGUGAUAUAUUUUGUUGGUGUUAUUUUUUUUGUUUGUGUGGUCUUUAACCAUUAAUGUACAUAAUAAAAAACAAAAACCCUAAAAAACUUUUGAGUGGACUGUUGGUUUGAUCUUGAGCAAAUGGACUUAGAAUCUAGGCAACUUCCCUAAGCUAAAGGACUUGGCCAAUGCCAACUUAUUGAAGAACCAAAUGCUUGCAAUUUGAACCUCAUCUGAUACAUCUUUGAAGACCUCUCUAGAUUCAUCUACAAUAUGAUCAUUGUGAAGCUGUUAUUUUGAACCUGUGACUUGUGGAAUUCAUCUGUUGCAAGGGAUCUUCACAUUAGGAACCAGGUAGAGUUCGGUAGCAGACUUGCCAAAAAGAUCCUUUCCUCUGAGAGUUUUCAAUUCCUUGCGAAGCUCAAGAAAUUGAUCAUUCAUAGCAUCCAUCUUUUCAUAGACAUCUGGGCCCUCAGACGGCUCAGAAUGAUAGAUGAUGUCGUCUACUCUAGGCGUAAUAUGCACGACAGGAGGAGGAACAGCAAGGACCGGGCUAGAUGUCGGCAGAGAAGCAAAGGUGGGUGCAGGACCCUUAGGCAUGAAAUUAGGAGGCAUCCCCCACGGAAACCCAGUUGGCAUGGCCGUCGGAGCAAAGUGUGCGCUGGCCGCACGCACAGUUGAAGAGACAAUCUCAGAGAUGACUGUCCUCUGGGGAGGAGUUGAAGGUGUCGGAGAAGACUGGCUCUAGGGCAGCCAUGAAUGACUCCAUCAGGGCAGUCAAUCUGGCUACUUCUUCCUUCAGCUCGCGGUUCUCUUGUUCCAGAUGAUCCGUCAGUCUUGAAAUGUUGGCUCUGGUGUAGUACCGGUGAGUCAGCUUGUCUUCAAAAUAAAUGAAGAACACAGAGUUAGACCAUAGAACAAGAAGCCUGGAGCAAAACCUGCUGAUGCACAUGAUGCAAGUACCGGUGAGUCAGCUUGUCUUCAAAAUAAAUGAAGAACACAGAGUUAGACCAUAGAACAAGAAGCCUGGAGCAAAACCUGCUGAUGCACAUGAUGCAUGCAAUGCUUGUGCAUAUGAUUUGUUUUCUAUUUAUCAUAGGAACUUUUAGAGUUCUAUUUGCAAAUAUUGGAAAUAUUAAACAUUUAUCACAUAUGGAAAUAUCACAUCAAUAAUAUCUGGAAAAUAUUUUUACACCAAAAAAGUACAGUCUUGGUAACCAAAUACAAGAGGGAAGGAAAAUGAACAUCCUAUGGAACCCUAGAAGCAAUCAUCUAAAGCUCUGGAUACAGGAAGAUAAGAUGUACGAAGCCUCUUCACCUCCCUCUCAUAGGCUGCCUCCAUAUCUGCCUUCUUUUUGGCGAGUCGAUCAUACUUCCUCUUCCAAAACUUGGAAGACUGAGGAAGUAGAGAAGUCCAUGCAUCAUCAGGAUCAUCUAUAACUUGAUGCUCGAGGAACUCUAUCAAAGCAUCCUUCUCCUUGAUUUGCUGAAGCAACUCCUCUCGUUCACAGAUCCAAGCACGUGAACGAUCUUCGUCUCUCAACUCCUAUACUCCUUGGUCUGGGAGGGUUGAAGGCCCAGCCGCAACCAAAGGUGUAGGUCUUGGAUAUUCGUAAGGCAUGAGGUACUCGGAAGCUCUCCUCCUCACCCAAGAAGUAUAAGGCUCCAAAGCGAUACAAUUCUUUGGACCUAGCUCCUUCCUUCCUUUCCUAUGGAUCUUGCGCCAAGUGUGGACCAUCCUGCCCUUCAAGCCUUGGGGAUCUUUACCCUCUUGAAAGAACACACCUUCUAACAGAAUGUUAUUGGGUUUAUCCUUUUGGGGGAACCCAUGCUGACGAUGUGCCAAAAUAGGGUUGUAGUUAAUCCCACCACAUGUACCAGGAAGAGGCACAUUGGAGAAUUCUCCAUAAGAAUCAAUAAUCUGCACAUCAUCAUACACACGGUUGUACCAAGAGAUAUCAUCAUUAGUGAGAGACAUAAGUCCCGUGGACCACCGUAGACAUCCUUUGUUCUCCUUGAAGGCGACCGUCUACGACAAGUGCGAAAUAAACCACUUGUACAACAGAGGCAAAUAGCACACAAUGGUACCACCACCCUUUGCAUUCCUCAUAUGCAAAGAAAAGUAAGUGUCACUCAACAGAGUCGGAACGGGAUUAAGAGUAGAGAAAAUCCUAAUAGCGUUCACAUCCACAAACUUGUCGAUGUUGGGGAAUAACACUAGCCCAUAGAUGAGAAGUACAAAUAUGGCCUCAAAGGCGUCCUCACUCAUGGCCUUCCCAUACAUAGUAGCUUGAGCAAUGAGGAACUCAGAAGGGAGACCUUGAAUUCCACCUUUGGUAGUCAUAUGAGCACCAACCAGAGAUUCAUCUAUAUGCAACAUGUCAGCUAUCUCUUGAGAAGUAGGAAUACUCUCCAAGCCACUGAACGGCAACUGGUCUAGAAUAGGUAUACCCACAAGGUAGGCAUACUCCUCAAGCGUGGGCAAAAGCUGAAAAUCCGGAAAUGUGAAGCAACGGUACAAGGGAUCAUAAAACUGCACCAAUACACUCAUCAAUCCUUCAUCCACCUGAGUAGUCAGAAGAGGAAGAAGCUUCCCAAAACGAGCCUUGAAACCCAAGGGAUCUAAUACAUAGGAUGUCAAAUUCCUUAGCUCUUUCAAGUCGGGUUGUCUGAAACUGUACUUCUUCGUAUUCCUUCUUUGUCUUUCCAUGUCUGAAAAUUUGCAAAUAGACCUCUUAAGUUCCUUGAAAAUUUUCUCAUUAUUGAUGAUAUGGAUGCAAAUGGGUGCAUGAAUGCAUGAAUGCAACAAUCACACUCAAGGAUCAAGCAAAGCACACCAAACAAAGGUCAUGGGAUGGAUCAUGUUAUCCUUAAUAUCAAUCAUCCAUUUUGGUGGAUUAUGGUUUACACCUUAUCAACACCCAAGUUCCAUUGAUAUUAAGGAUACAUGAACGGAUCAACCAUGAAUCAAGGGUUUGUUGCAAGUCACGAGCAUGGAGUCUCGGUUAAGAACCACCCAAAGGGAGUGUACUAUGGUUUAAACCUGCCAAACAUGUUCUACAAGAGGUUCCCAUAGUCAUUAUCCCAUCUUUCGAAUAUUAUCGGAGAAACAACUACUCGUAUUCCAAAAAUAUUCUCAAGAGAGACUCUUAUGAGUGUAGCAUCGUGUAACAAUCGUAUCAAAUCUUACACUUGAACGACUUUCGCACUACGUCCUAAGAAUAGGCCAAGAAGGGCUUGGUAAACUAAGGUCCUUGGCUUCUAAGGUCUAUAUUGGAAAAAGUAAUGUCUAACCACAACUACUUGUGUGACAUUAUUGAUCCCAACAUGACCUCCACCAAAUGAAUGGGCUUGCAAGUCAACUUGCUAAGGAAUAACUCCACACAAGUCAACAAGACUAUGCCAUUCUCCUAUCCUAAAUGCACUCGAGUUCGGGUAUAGAACUCAUCUCACAAAGAUCACCAAGCAUACAAGGAAAUUAAUAUUGAAGCAAGGUUCAAUCAUUAAUAUAAUACCGUCAAUCCCAAAUUGCACAAAAAUAUGCUCAUUAAAACAAUAUAAAUAUAAUGACAAAAAACAAAAAAAAAAUAUGAAAAGUAGGAGGCAAACCCACAUAGGCGCAAAUGAUCCCCAGCAGAGUCGCCACUUUUUUGUAGCGGGGUAUUCGUUACCAUUAGAGAUAUUGACUAAAUCUAAGGUAAACCAUACAAGUCGAGUCGCCACCGCACUUCUAUUUAUCCAAAGGAAUGGUUAGAAUGCGAACAAAAACCUAAAAGUUUUAUCGAAUAUAAAACUAGUAAAAAUGUCAGAGAUCUGGGUAAGGGGGUUGGUUAUGCAAUGGGAAGGUUUUAAGCACCCAAAACAUCCUAGGUACUCCUAGGGAGCCCUUUUCAUACUUGUUGUAAGGUUUGUAUUUUGUGAAAAUUUAUUUGUGCAAACAUGAUUGAAGAGAUGAGAAGAGAAUAUACAAGUUAUUCACAUUUUAUGUUUGGAUGGAUAAACCCAUUGCCUACGUACCAUCUUAAAAAAAGAUUAGGAUCAAAACCUCGUACUUCGGGGUAAAAAUCUCAAAAUGAGUUGGUGAGUUGAUUGGUCCAAAAGCCUUAAGGUCUUUUGUUAUCCAAGGGAGAAAACUCAACCCAAAACCACAAAUCCACCAUGUGAGGAUAGCUUCAACAUGCUAGUGAGGGGUUAACCCUAUAAUAAGUAUGGAAGACUCAUUGUGCAUCACUAAGGAUAUAGGCGAGUAUUAUAUCUACCUCAAGGAUAACUCAAACCUAAUAGCUACAGGUUAUGAAAAGUUUUGAUUAAGAAAGUGGCCAUUGAAACCACAAAAAGAGUAUUUGAAUUGGUUAUACUUACCAAUGAAAAGUAUGUACAAAAUAUGGUCAAAGAUGACUUAGAAGUUCAAUUCAAAAUAAGUGUUAUGAAAAUAAAAUUUGAAAAUCAAAAGCAUAAGGCUUAGGUUUCUAAUGUUUGAAAAGAAGUGUUAAAUGUUUGCACAAAAGUUUUGGCUUGGGUUAGAGUGGAGGGAAGAAGAAGAAUGGCUAAAGUCCUAAUCACAUAAGGCUUAGGUUUCUAAUGUUUGAAAAGAAGUGUUAAAUGUUUGCACAAAAGUUUUGGCUUGGGUUAGAGUGGAGGGAAGAAGAAGAAUGGCUAAAGUCCUAAUCAUACAAGAGAUAAGGGAUACGAAACAAGACCACAAAUGGAGUUCCUCUCUUGAGAUCAUAUUGAUGAUCCAAGUAGUAGCUCCCAUCCUUUGGAAUAUGCAAGCAAAAUAAUAGUAAGCUCAAGAAAUCAACACAAUCAAACAAGCUUCUUAGAAGAUCCCCAAUGUAACUUGUAUCUUUCACUUUGGAUGAACGUGGCAAUGGUUCUUCAAUUUGAGCUCUCAUAGGAUUCCCUAGCACAAGAGCACACACAUCAAAGAGUUUUAUGAAGCAAAUCAAGAAUGGACAAGAGUGAGUUUAGAGGUUUGGUCCUUCUAGUCCAUCUUCAACAUUAAGGUCUUUUUCUCCAAUUUGCAUAGGGAAAGUCCUAGAAACUAAGUCCAUUUGUCCAUUUCUUUGCAUUUGGUCCACAACAAUCAAAACAAAACACAAGCACAAUGAUAUAUACACAAUUAUAUGCUCAAGUGAGCAAAAGGCAAAUUGCAUUAACAUAAACAGUGCUCUAGUGAGCAAGGGGGAAGAGCAAAUUGAAUAAAUAGUAAAGAAUAGUAAAUUGCAUAAAGUAAAGAGGCAAGAAGUAAAUUUAUGGUAAUAGUUAGUGUUAGUGGUUAGUGUACCAUAAAGGAAUUUAGUGCUAUGUUAAGCAAUCGUAAUUGGACUUAUGUAGAAGUCACAACUAUCUGAGGCCGGACAAUAAUAAUGUAGGCAACAACACAAGUUAGAGGUCUUGAUUAGUGAAUCAAACUCCAACAACUUGCCAUGCCAAAAAGAAGACGAGAAAUGAUCUUGUAUUGAUUUAGGUCCUUUGCAUAAUUUAGAAAUCAAUCUAUCCUUAAUGCAAAGCCAUUCACUUGAUCCAUGAUCAAGAUGAAUUAGAUUUGAAUCAAGGAAGAUUAAACCUCCCUAAUCAAUGCUAACCAUCAACCUUUAACUCAUUCAUCAAAAAGAAAAGAAGAAGAAGAAGAAGAUGAAGAAUAGAAAUGAAGAAUUAAAGUGCAUUAAAUGAAAUGGAAUGAGAUAAUCAACAAGCUAUGACCAAAGGUAGAGAAGAUCAAGGUCAAACAAUAGAAAACAAAAGCAGAAUGAAGAUUAGAAGUCAAGAAGUAAACAAAAUAUUUUUGGCAUUUUUAAUAUUUAAAAUAAAACAUGAAUUAAAAUAUUAAAGAAAGUUCAAACUUCAAAAUCACUUCAAAUAAACUUUGACAAGUCCAAGUGAAUUAUCCCAAGUUCAACAAGGUCAAACAAAGUUUGACAAAAAAUUUCAGCAUUUUUAAAAGUGAUAAACUAAUUUUAAUCAAUUAAAAAUGCAUAAAAAUGACCUAAUUGAACAAAAAUCUCAAAUAAAUCUCAAAUCAAUUAAUAAAUUGAUGAGAAUAUUUUUCAUAGAUUUAUCAUAAUUCAAAGAGGUUGAGAAAAUAUUUUGGUAUUUUUUGAAUAUCAAAAAAUAUUUAAAAUGAAUUAAAAAUAACCAGAAAAGAGAAAAUUGCUAAAAAAAUAGCAAAUGAUAAAAUAAAAAAUAUUAAAAAUCAUUUUUAGAAACUAGAAAUUAAAAGAGAAAUAAUGCAAUUGGUCCCAAAUUUUUUGGACCAAUAAUGAAAGAGAUAUGGAUUUUAGAAAAUGAAAUGGAAUUAAAAAAUAAAAUGGAAAUAAAACUUAGAAUUAAAAAAGAUGGAAAAGCGUGAGCCAUUGGAUCUGAGCUCAUUAAUUGAGCUGGCAGAUCCAAGCAUCCACAAGCGCGCGCCCAACGUGUUCCUCAGUCAACUGAAUCACAUGGCGUAUUAAAAUAAGUCAUAAGUUUGGACAGCCAGGAUUAGAUCUGGGAAUGGCAAUGGAUGGCCACGAUUGGAUCUGGAGACCAGACGGUGGCCAGCGCCACCGUCUUCUCCGGCUAGCUCCGGUGAGGGCUCAAAAUUGCAGAAGAGCAAAUGUGACCAAAACGCACGAUCCAGGUACCAAAUGAAAGAUGGAGUGAUGUACAUAACUUUUAUGCCACUCAAUUCCAUUCUAGAUCCCUAUUGAUAGAGAAAUCAGAGGUGGAAUUUUGGUGGUGUUCAACUGAACUUGCUUGAUUUCAAAAAUCAAGAACACAAUAAUGAUGCCUUUAUGCAAAGGACUUCAGAUCACACAAAAUCAAGGCAAAUGGAGCAAUAUAUAUGUUGUUUCGAAGCAAAAUGCAGUUGAGCAAAACCUUUGAAUUGUGAAGAAAUGAGUCACAAUCUUUGAUUCCUUUUGCAAACAGAAGCUUCUAUGGAUCAAAGAAAGAAGGUUUAGGAACUAUGGAUCUUAAAAAUCAAUCGAUGCAAUUGAAUUUCAGAUCUGAAACUUUUGAAAGGAAGAGAAAAGUUCCUUUGGCGAGGGUUGGGUUUUGAGUUUAGUAGAGGUUUAGGCGCCUUUAAGUUGAAGAAUUGUGAAGCUAUGGCAUGGUAUUUAUAGAUGGAGAUGGCUAAAUGCAUGAGCUAACUCGUGUGCAUAGGAGAAGAGGGCCUCCAUGCAUGGGCCUGUACAGGCGCAUGGAGGGCCCAAUUCUGAAUGGAAUUGAAUGCUAUACAUUACCAAAUAUGAAUUGGAAGUGCAGAUUGGAUGUUAAUGGGUCAUGCAUGGCAAUUGGAAUGAUUUUCAUAAAAUGCACUGUUUCAUUGAAGCUUUCGAAAAGGCCAUGUCCAAAAUCCAAAUGCAACCUUAUGAGUAAUGGUUGGAAAGCUUAUUGCAUAAGGAACAAAUGUCAUGUUGAUCAAAACUUCAUUUGGGCCUUGGAAAUUAAUGAAAUUUGAGCUUGAAGUACCAAAAUCCAAAUGCAACCUUAUGAGUAAUGGUUGGAAAGCUUAUUGCAUAAGGAACAAAUGUCAUGUUGAUCAAAACUUCAUUUGGGCCUUGGAAAUUAAUGAAAUUUGAGCUUGAAGUGUAGGGUACAAAACAUGCCUAUGUGAAGUUUCCAAAUUUGGCCAAUGUUCAAGCCCCUCUGUCUCAAUGAUGCAAGCUCCAAAUGAUAAAAGAUUAAACAUGAAAGUUGUAGAUAUUUUCAAGACAAUCAAUUUUGACUUAAAGUUUGCAUCAUUUGGAUUUUUAAUGAAGACGUUAUGGGCAUUUGAAGUUGGACUUUUUCACAUUUCAAUGCAUUUGGUCCAAAGUGACCUAUAAUGUUUUGCAUUAUCACAAAUGAGUUCAAAUAUGCACGAAAUGAUGAAUUAAAGAACUUACCUUGAUUGUAUUUUACCAUGGGCUGAGGUUGCUUCAUGAGCAAGGCACAGUUGAUGAACAAAUGAACUAGGGUUUCCUUGGGAAACAAGCCUGAAACCCCUUGACUUGAUUUGAUCAAAAUGAAUAAUUGAGAUACUUGGGAGGCAUAUUUGAUGGAUUAGAGCUUUGGGAUCCAUUUCCAUGUUUUCUUUCAUCUCCUCUUGACCACAUCAUUGCACAUAGGAUCUCCUAGAAGCUUUGGAUCUUGUGACUGCUCAAGCUACAAACAAGAGAUGUUAGUGACAUAUUUUUGUGCUUUUGGUUAGUAAAUAAAAUGAGAAAAGAAAUAAUAUACAAUUCAAGCAUGCUUGGUGAUCACUUUGGAUCUUGUGACUGCUCAAGCUACAAACAAGAGAUGUUAGUGACAUAUUUUUGUGCUUUUGGUUAGUAAAUAAAAUGAGAAAAGAAAUAAUAUACAAUUCAAGCAUGCUUGGUGAUCUCAAACUACUCACAAAAGAUCCCACCCAAAGGCAAAGGGAACCAAGAUGCUUAUGAUCCUUGAGGCUAUGCAAAUGAAAUGUUAUGAUGCCAUGAGGGAUCUUAGGGUCAAAAUUAGGGUCUUACAACAUCUUGAUUUUUUGUUGGAAAUCACUUGAACCUUCUACCAUAAAUUAUGGUUGCGUUUUUCCUUGCCUUAAAAAGUAGGGGAGCAUUCUUGGGUUGCGUUCAAAGUUGGGGAGAAAGAGGUUAGUUGAUAAGAUUGAAAAAGAAGUGGUUGAAAAAAAAAAGAAAAAAAAUUAUGAAUAGAAAAGAAGCAAUGCAAAGAAGAGCUUUGUAAAAGAAAGAAAAAUGGUAAGAAUUUUAUGCGAACAAGUGAGCUCAUGGUUGUAACAAUGAAUCAAAGAAAAAAGGGUAAGGAGAAUGUGAUUGUUUAAGAAUGUGGGGUGUGAAUGCUCUCAUAAGAUUAUGCAAUUUUGUUUCAAUAACUUGAGAAAUGACCCUUCCUUCUUAACCAAUCCAAAUUAAAACCCUUGAAAGUCCUUAGUGAUUCAUACUUUUGUGCUUUCAAUAUAAUUUGUUGAUGAAUGCAUAAUUUGGUCAAGAUGUUAGCAGGAUUCUUGUAUGGGAGUAAAAGUCCCUCAUGUUGUUUCUCAUCGAUUAAUGAAUGUGUUUUUAUGUGUGAUUCAUGUUUGAAUUUGCAUUAUUUUAAGAAAUUUUAGUAUGAAGUGUGCAUUUAGCAUUUGUUUCAAGGUCAUGGUUUGUUUUUGAGUAUUGGUAAGCUUUACUUUGGUUGUGCUAUUGAUUUUGAACCAUGAAAUUGUUUUUUAUUCUUAAGAACUUGUUGUGUCCCAUUUUCUUGAAGGUUGUUUUUUGUUGUUUUGGGUUUGAAAGACUUUUGUUUGGGGGCAAACAAAGUUAUAAGUUGGGGAGAGUUGUUAAUGGCCAAUUUGUGUAAAUAAUCCAGAGUAUUCUGUGGCCCUUUUCAUUUGAUAUCAAUAGAAUUUCUUGCUAGCACCUUAGUUUUAAGUGUAAAUAUGUAGAUUUUAAGAUUAUCAUGUAAAUAGAUUUUGUUUGAUCAUUUUGGUGCAAAUUUGUAGGUUUCCAAGCCUAUUGGAAGUAUGAGAAACACAAAGGCACCAAGCAAGAUCCAAAGUUUCAAUUUUGAAGAUUCCAAGUUUUCCAAAGCAGGCUAAGCGCGACCCUAGCGCACUUAGAGAACGAGGGGAAGGAGGAAAAUGGGAAAUUCACGUUAGGAGUGCGUUUAGCGCGAAUCAAGGCGGUUUAAGUUAUUUUUCUUUUAUCGUGCUAAGCGCACUCUGAUGGGGCUUAGCGUGAUUUCACUUUUAUGGCCCAUGCUAUAUAUACUUUUUUCUAGAUAUUUUGGAUCUUAUUUCACUCCAACUUUAUUCCAAAGGUUUUUCAGAUAAAAAAUCAUCAAGAACUCAUAAUCAAGAUUUCAAAGCAUCAAUCUUCGAGUUUUUCGAUGUUGAUGCUUGUGAAUCUCUUCUUGUUACUUAUUGGAAAGCUAUCAUGGUUAUGGGUAGCUAAACCCUCUUGUAUCAAGAUUAGAUGUAAUCAAUCUUAACAUGUAUGUAUUUCUUUUGAUCUUUUAUAUGUGAACAACUUGAUAAUCAAUGUAGAUGAUAAUCUUUGCUUUUAUUGAAUAUUUAUGGUUUAAAACAUUAUUGAGAAAGAUCUUUUAAGUCUUGGCCUCAGUUUAUCAUCUAUCAAAGAACAAGUAUAGAAAUGGAAGUGAAAUUAGAUAUUGAAUUUGUAUCAGAUCACUAAUGUUAUUUGUAUUGUUUAAUAGGUUGAGACAUCGUCGAUUAAACAAUACGGUAAAACUCACAAUACAUUCCUCGACAUGAGCGGUAUGGUUGCGCGAUAUGUGGUUAUGAUGAUUAUAAAUGAAGUUCACAUGCUUAAUUAAUCGAAUACAUACAAAAUAUUGAUGAAAUCUAGUCUUGAUAUGUCUUUUAACAUAUUAAUCUUUCUAAACUUUUAUCAUUGCUACAAACUCUUAUGAAUGUCACUUUCACCAAACCAAAACCAUUUGAAACCUUUGCUUAAGACAUUGUAAACUUUAGAAUGGUGGUAAUAUCACAUCAAUCCCUGUGGAGAGGAUAAAACAAAUACUCACCGAAAACUACUUUUUGACAUGGUUGUAUAUGCGUCACUUACAAUCACGGUCUAGUGCCUGUUGUAGAAAACUAGGAUAUGUGCUACCUAUCAUCAUGGUUGUAUUACAUAACCUUUGUGAAAUGUUUAAAAGUCCCUGGUUCGAUUCCCAUCGACACCAUUUUUGGGAUUUGAAUUAUUCUGGAUAGCUUUCAACAUAUAAACACAGUUGAAUUUAGCAACCGUUGUGAAAUCACUUGCUCUCUCUCUCUCUCUCUCUCUCUCUCUCUCUCUCUAUCUAUCCAUCUAUCUAUCUUUAUCUCUCUCUCUCUCUCUCUAUAUAUAUAUAUAUGUGUGUGUGUGUGUGUGUAUAUAUANNNNNNNNNNNNNNNNNNNNNNNNNNNNNNNNNNNNNNNNNNNNNNNNNNNNNNNNNNNNNNNNNNNNNNNNNNNNNNNNNNNNNNNNNNNNNNNNNNNNNNNNNNNNNNNNNNNNNNNNNNNNNNNNNNNNNNNNNNNNNNNNNNNNNNNNNNNNNNNNNNNNNNNNNNNNNNNNNNNNNNNNNNNNNNNNNNNNNNNNNNNNNNNNNNNNNNNNNNNNNNNNNNNNNNNNNNNNNNNNNNNNNNNNNNNNNNNNNNNNNNNNNNNNNNNNNNNNNNNNNNNNNNNNNNNNNNNNNNNNNNNNNNNNNNNNNNNNNNNNNNNNNNNNNNNNNNNNNNNNNNNNNNNNNNNNNNNNNNNNNNNNNNNNNNNNNNNNNNNNNNNNNNNNNNNNNNNNNNNNNNNNNNNNNNNNNNNNNNNNNNNNNNNNNNNNNNNNNNNNNNNNNNNNNNNNNNNNNNNNNNNNNNNNNNNNNNNNNNNNNNNNNNNNNNNNNNNNNNNNNNNNNNNNNNNNNNNNNNNNNNNNNNNNNNNNNNNNNNNNNNNNNNNNNNNNNNNNNNNNNNNNNNNNNNNNNNNNNNNNNNNNNNNNNNNNNNNNNNNNNNNNNNNNNNNNNNNNNNNNNNNNNNNNNNNNNNNNNNNNNNNNNNNNNNNNNNNNNNNNNNNNNNNNNNNNNNNNNNNNNNNNNNNNNNNNNNNNNNNNNNNNNNNNNNNNNNNNNNNNNNNNNNNNNNNNNNNNNNNNNNNNNNNNNNNNNNNNNNNNNNNNNNNNNNNNNNNNNNNNNNNNNNNNNNNNNNNNNNNNNNNNNNNNNNNNNNNNNNNNNNNNNNNNNNNNNNNNNNNNNNNNNNNNNNNNNNNNNNNNNNNNNNNNNNNNNNNNNNNNNNNNNNNNNNNNNNNNNNNNNNNNNNNNNNNNNNNNNNNNNNNNNNNNNNNNNNNNNNNNNNNNNNNNNNNNNNNNNNNNNNNNNNNNNNNNNNNNNNNNNNNNNNNNNNNNNNNNNNNNNNNNNNNNNNNNNNNNNNNNNNNNNNNNNNNNNNNNNNNNNNNNNNNNNNNNNNNNNNNNNNNNNNNNNNNNNNNNNNNNNNNNNNNNNNNNNNNNNNNNNNNNNNNNNNNNNNNNNNNNNNNNNNNNNNNNNNNNNNNNNNNNNNNNNNNNNNNNNNNNNNNNNNNNNNNNNNNNNNNNNNNNNNNNNNNNNNNNNNNNNNNNNNNNNNNNNNNNNNNNNNNNNNNNNNNNNNNNNNNNNNNNNNNNNNNNNNNNNNNNNNNNNNNNNNNNNNNNNNNNNNNNNNNNNNNNNNNNNNNNNNNNNNNNNNNNNNNNNNNNNNNNNNNNNNNNNNNNNNNNNNNNNNNNNNNNNNNNNNNNNNNNNNNNNNNNNNNNNNNNNNNNNNNNNNNNNNNNNNNNNNNNNNNNNNNNNNNNNNNNNNNNNNNNNNNNNNNNNNNNNNNNNNNNNNNNNNNNNNNNNNNNNNNNNNNNNNNNNNNNNNNNNNNNNNNNNNNNNNNNNNNNNNNNNNNNNNNNNNNNNNNNNNNNNNNNNNNNNNNNNNNNNNNNNNNNNNNNNNNNNNNNNNNNNNNNNNNNNNNNNNNNNNNNNNNNNNNNNNNNNNNNNNNNNNNNNNNNNNNNNNNNNNNNUUUUUUGCUAUCAGAGAUAGGCAUACUGUCAAGAAGCAGAUAGCUACAUUUUGCUUAUAUAUGGAUAAACAAACUUCACCACAAUCAUAUUCAAAAACUGUAUGGAAAUAUAAACGGCCUUUCGCCAUGAGUGGUUGACACUACCAACCGUGGUUGUGCUGUGAUUGUAUAUUACUAAUUAUAUAACUAUAUUAUAUAUAUAUAUAUAUAUAUAUAUACAACACUCAUUGUAACGAAAAAAUAGAAAAUUGUUGGAGUUGUAAUUCGAAUUCUGUCACUCCAUGAAUGUAUGAUCACGGUUGAUUGUUUUGACCGUAAUGCAAUAUUUUUUCGUAAAUAUAAAUAUAAAAAAACGCGUUAAAAAAUGAGGUAUUACCACGACUAUUUUGUCACUCCAUGAAUGUAUAAAUAUUUUUAUUGCCUGGCCUCAGAUAGUUAUGACUUCUACAUAAGUUCAAUUACAAUUGCUUAACAUAGAGGUAAAUUUGACCCUAAAGGCACAACAUUCUAGUAAGUGAAAUUGUAAGUCUCCCAUCCUUCAUGGUAUUGUGUGGAAACUUGACCUUUUUUCCUUCCUAUGGAAGAUGUCUUAGUUUAAGGAUUCAUGUUGUGAAUGGAUGGUUGACUAUUCUCCAAAGAAUGACUUAAUCAAUUAAAAAGCAAAACACCACUAAUACCACUAACACUUGACUAACAUUUGACUAACUCUAACUAAUAUUGUUUUAUUUAAAAGUUAUUUACUUUAUGCAAUUUAAUUUUCAGUCAUUUAUCAUUCAUUUCCAUUUAUAUUUCAUUUGACUUGUUUAUGUUUAUGUCAUUUUCACUUUGCUCAUUUGAGUCAUAUCUUAUGAUUGUAUAUAUUUGUUUGUGCAUUUUGAUUCUGUUUGUGGUCUUAGGACCUUAAAAUACUUAAUAAACAACAAAAACCCUGAAAAAUAUUUGGUGGACUGUUGAUCUUGAUCUGAACUUUUGGACUUAGGAUUAGGCAAUAUUCCUUGUGCAAAAAAGACUUGGUCAAUGCCAACAUUUUGAGACCAGGUUAUUGUGAACUGAGCCUUCGUCUGAUGCAAGCCUUGGACUCUGUUUGAAUUCAUCUGCUACCUUGUCUUGUUGCUAAUUGUUAUUUAGAUUUUGUGUCUGAUGGUUUCUUCUGAGUUGGGCAAAGAAUAUUUCAUCUGGAGCAUGAGAAGACAAAUAAGACUAUUAGCUAUGGGAUGUGUUUGCUUGGAUGUGGUUAUCUUUAUUUGAUGUCUUGAUCUUCAUGAUGCCUGAUAUUGCUAUUUUCUUGUUGAUUAUUGCUUGAUUCAAAGUCCAAGGGAAAUUGGUUUCUAUAUGACACUCUUGUCUGUUGGAUUGCAUCCCAUUGUUCAGAUCUUUUCAACUCUUAAUUUUUAACUGUAUGCUUAAGAUAACCUCUUCAUCUCCUCCUAAUUCUUAAAUUUCAGAAUAUCUCCCUCCUUUCAAAAUCUUUCUUUUCUUAUGAUUUCAAACUUGGACCUUAUUUCAAGUAGAAACUUUGGCCUUAUGCCAUUGAAUUUUUGAACUUCUUUUUCUUAAAUCAAACUUGUAAAAAAUUAUAAUCAUAAUGACUUAAAAUUUCAAAAUACAAAAAGAACUAAUAACUCCAUUAAAACCUUUGGCCCCUUCGUGCCCUCCUCAAUUAAAUUUUUUUUAAAAGCAAUUCACCUAUUUUGAAAUUUUUACCACGAACUACGAGGUUUUGAUCCCUCAUUUUUAUGUUGGUGCGUAGGCACAAGUUUGAAGGUCUUGUCAAACACAAAAAUAGAAUCAAUGAAUUCUUUUCUCAUACCCACACUCUAUUUUUAUCAAACAUCUUUUAUACCAAAAACACAAAAAUAGAAUCAAUGAAUUCUUUUCUCAUACCCACACUCUAUUUUUAUCAAACAUCUUUUAUACCAAAAACACAUACACACAUAAAAAAUGGCUCCUUAGGAAUACCUAGGACACUUUGGGUGCUAACACCUUCCCUCUAUGUAACCAACCCCCUUACCUGUAAUCUCUAACAUUUUAUUAGUUUUGAUUUGAAAACUUAUUAUUUUUGGGUUUAGUUUGUACUUUUCCCUUUUCCUUUGGAAACAAUAAAAGCGCGGUGGCGACUCUGGUUUUAUUGAUGUUAAACUUAUCCAUAGUUUGAUGGUCAUGAAUUUACCGCUACAGGAGGAUGCCAAGGUGUGCACCCAAAGCCAGUGCAAAUGAUAAGAUAACAUGAGGGAUCUUAGGGUCAAAAUUGGGGUCUUACAAGAGGAAAAUGAGAAAUUCACGCUAGGAGUGCGUUUAGCGCGAAUCAAGGUGGUUUAAGUUAUUUUUUUGCUGAUCGUGCUAAGUGCACUCUGAUGGGGCAUAGCGUGAUUUCACUUUUAUGGACCAUGCUAUAUAUACUUUUGGCUAGAUAUUUUGGAUCAUAUUUCACUCCAACUUUAUUUCAAAGGUUUUUUCAGAUAAAAAAUCAUCAAGAACUCAAAGUCAAGAUUUUGAAGCAUCAAUCUUCGAGUUUUUUGCCGUUGAUGCUUGUGAAUCUCUUCUUGUUACUUAUUGGAAAAGCCAACAUGGUUAUGGGUAACUAAACCUUCUUGUAUCAAGAUUAGAUGUAAUCAAUCUUACUUUGUAUGUAUUUCUUUUGAUCUUUAGUAUGUGAACAACUUGAUAAUCAAUGUAGAUGAUAAUCUUUGCUUUUAUUGAAUAUUUGUGGUUUAAAACAUUGUUGAGAAAGAUCUUUUAAGUCUUGGACUAAGUUUAUCAUCUAUCAAAGAACAAGUCUAGACAUGGAAGUGGAAUUUGAUAUUCACUUUGUAUCAGAUCACUAAUGUUAUUUGUAUUGUUUAAUAGGUUGAGACAUUGUCGAUUAAACAAUACGGUAAAACUCACAAUAUCGUCUUAGGCAUGAGUGGUAUGGUUGAGCGAUAUGUGGUUAUGUUGGUUAUAAAUGAAGUUAACAUGCUUAAUUAAUCGAAUACAUACAAAAUAGGUUGAUGAAAUCUAGUCUUGAUAUGUCUUUUAAAACAUUAAUAUUUAUAAACUUUUAUCAUUGUUACAAACUCUUAUGAAUGUCACUUUCGCCAAACCAAAACCAUUUUAAACCCUUUCUUAAGACAUUGUAAACUAUAGAAUGGCGGUAAUAUCACAUCAAUCCAUGUGGAGACAAUAAAAUAAAUACUCACCGAAGAACACUUUUCGACAUGGGUGUAUAUGCGUUACUUACAAUCACGAUCUAGUGCCCAUUGUAGAAAACUAGAAUACACGCUACCUAUCAUCACGGUUGUAUUACAUAACCAUUGUGAACUGUUUAAAGGUCAUUGGUUCGAUUCCCAUCAACUCCAUUUUUGGGAUUUAAAUUAUUCUGAAUAGCAUUCAACAAUCAACAUAUAAACACAUUUGAAUUUAGCAACCGUUGUGAAAUCAAUUUCUUUUUUUUAUAUAUAUAUUUAUGCUUUUAUACAUUUCCCCAUUUUUAACAUGUAUUUUUGUGAAUCGUAUCAGACCAUAAACAAUAACAUGCAUUUGUAAAUCGUAUCAUACCAAAAAUUAUAUUACAUCAAAGGCAAUGAUUAAUUCAUGAUUAACAUAUACAUCAUAUCAUCUAGUCAACUAAACACAAUGGCCUAUAAUUAUUUUUACUUAUAAACAAUUGCAUUCCAUAAUUAUUGUAUUGUUUUGACUUACACAAUUGGCAUGCACAAUUAAUACAUUGAUUGAAACACUUGCUGAAUUAAGGCAUGCCAACUAGGUGAUACUUUGAUUUAUCAAGCUAAAUUUUUAUCGAUAAGAAUACAUAAAGCUCUAACCUGAAUUGGUAUUAGUUUCGUGUUCCACACUUCAGUUUUAAAAUCAAUUGAAUACAGGCACCUAUAUUAGCCCGAUCAUACUUUGACACAAUACAAUUUAUUGGAUACAUGAAUGACAAUCUUCAAUCUUCAUGCCUAGUCGAAUUCAUGGAUUUCUCAAGGUCUUCAUCUGAUUUAGAAUCAGUUGAAUCCAGAUUCAUUAGGUCCUUCACAACAACCUCUACCUUCCUUAUCUUUUAAGGGUUAAGAUUCUUGAUAAGAAUCUUCUUAUAGCAUGUUCCACCAAAAGAUGAGAAAGCUAAUGACGAAGAAGAUAAGAGAAAAUAUGUGCUAGGGUUUUUCUAUCAGAGAUAAGGCGUAACUGUCAAGAAGCGAUAGCUAAUUCGCUUAUAUAUGGAUAAACAACUUCACCACGGUCGUAUUCAAAAACCGAGAUGAAAUAUAACUCCUNUAUAUAUAUAUAUAUACAACACUCAUUGUAACGAAAAAAUAGAAAAUUAUUGGAGUUGUAAUUCGAAUUCUGUCACUCCAUGAAUGUAUAAUCACGGUUGAUGGUUUUGACCGUAAUGCAAUAUUUUUUCGUAAAUAUAAAUGUAAAAAAACACGUUAAAAAAUGAGGUAUUACCACGACUAACUGGAAACUAUUUUAAGUUAGUGUUAUCAAAGGUAUAUUUUUUAGUAGUGAUGACAAAAUAUAUUUUGUUAUGUUAUCCGACGAUCAUGCCUUAAUUUUUCGAACAAGUACUUUUAAGGACAUCUCUUCGCCUACUCCCGAGGUUCUAGAACUUCGUCUUUCUAAAAGAAUCCUAACUUAAUUAGUCUUAUGUCAUCCUUUUCAUAAACAGUUUUGACUUUUAAGUAUUAAUUUGGUCUUACCCAUGAGAGCAUAGACAUGUUUGAACUUGUCGUAACUCAGGUCUGUGAAUUAUUAUAUUAAUGGGUCAGUUUCGAAUCUGCCUUGGUCUAGGUAGGAAAAGGACCCGACCAAAUUCAAAAUAAAAAAGAAUUUUUAAGCUUUUUUUAAACUUAAUCAUCCAAUAUAGAUUUAUUUAUUUAUUAUAAUUUUUGUUUAUUUUUAUAUUUCAACAAUUCAAUGAUACACAUUUCCUUUCAUCCAAAUAUACAUUAUUAUCAAUUGUGAAUUUUUAAUCUUAUCUUUUGGAAUUAUUGAUCAGCUUGAACUACUAAAUUAAUAUUAACUAUAACCUAUGGGUGGCAUAUAAAGCAAUCAAAACUAAUGAAUUGUGCUUGCUAGUAAACUUUAAUCCAAAUAUACACUCUAUCACACCAAUUGCACCGCAUUUCAAAGUUAAAUUUUAUUCAACAAUACACUUCAUAAAUUCGUAAACACAUUUUCUUACCAUAUUGUUUAUCUGUUGUGUUUUAAUCUUUCAUGUCUUGAGAGGACAAUACAACACAUUUUUUACCACUAUAUAAAGGACACUAUUGUUUAAUUGAUGUAAGGAGAGUUUGAACUUUAAAAGAUAUAAAUUGAUAAAACUAUUUCUUAAAUACAAAGGAAGAAAAAUGGCUGGAAUUAUCAAGUUUAUUCUUACUAUAAUUAUCUUUAUUUCUCUAUUGAUGGUGCCAUCCAACGCUGCAAGUAAGUUAAUUUUUUAAGAUUUAAAAAAUUUCCUUGUUACUUUGUACACAAUGUUUUAUCAAAUAUUAGCUAAACUUUUAUUCUUAUUUUUUCAAUAUAGAAACUGUUAAAUGUAUACAAGAUACGGAUUGUUUACAAUAUCAUAGGUGUAUGCCACCAAUGCUAAUGAAGUGUGACAAUAAACAAUGUAGAUGUGUUCCAGUGACCUAUUUCAUUCGUUAUGUUCCCGUAUGAUUCUUCAUAUUAAGUUCUCAUAUGGUUCUGCAUUUAGUGUUGUACCUAAGAGAUUAUUGUAUUGCUAUAUUAUAAUUUGUUUUUUUAUUUUUCAUUUCAAGAAUUUUGUAGUUAAGUUUAAUUUUAUUUAAAUCGAGUUCUUCUCUUUUAAUUUCAAAAUAUAUUCAUAGAUUUCAUUCCAGGUAUGUAUCAUGGUCAUUUCAAUCCUACCAUCUAUUAGAAUAAUACGUGUAAUAGUUAAGUUGAAUAACUGUUAUAUUGCUUAUAAGUCUGCACGUUUUUUUACAUGUUCAUGUUAUAGUAUCAAUACACUUCCCACCUUCAAUUUUCAUUUCUCUUAUAUUUUAAAUCUUUUAUUGGUCUCAUAUGUACUAUUCAAUUUUAAAAGAUAUGAAAAUAUAGAUAUUCACUAUAAAAAUGUAAAAAUCUAUUGUUAUAAGUGCAUAUUUUAUAGAAGAUUUGUUUAUGUUUCUACUUACUAACUAAAUAUAAUGUGUGGUUAAUAUAUUUUCUAUUUCAAAAGAAAUCUCGUAUAACUAAAUUGAAUUAGAUUAUGUAAGGUUAUAAUUUAUUAUAAAAUUUACAUGUAAUUUAAAAUGAAUAUGUUUCAAAAGACGUUUUUUUAUAUCUUUAAUUUUCUAUGAUUUUGUUGGGUUUUUUUUGAGAGGGGUAUAUAAAUUUGCAUUAUUAUUAUUAUUAUUAUUUUUAUUUUCUAAUUUUUAUAUUUAAAUUGGGGUGUGAGUUUUCUGGUGAGUAUGGGUGGUUGAGAGUUUCGUUAAAUUUAAAUUUAUUAAAUGAUUUAGAUUAUAAAAAAAAGUGUGAGAUAGAUGAAAAUGUAAGGUUUGGGAGAUAAGAAUUUUUUUUAACUGCGUCACAUGUAUAUGUGUGUGAUCAUAUAUGUAUUAAUUGUUUUGAUAUUACAUAUAAUUGGAUAUAAAGGUAAGCUAAUGGAUUAUCAUAGUAUAUUGUUUGUCCAUAACAAUUUAAUUUUGAAGAGUCAUAGUACAUCUUAAAAAACAACAUAGUAAACAUUGUUGUUUGUAAAAAAAAUUAGUGACAGUUAAGAAGAAUUUUUAUAAGGUUCCACAUAAUUAAUGAACUAGAAUAUAAAUAUAAUACAACCUAAGAGUACAUUAAUGAGCUUUGAAUAUGUACUAAUAUACACACAAAAAAGAUAUAAAUUAUGACAUAUCAUCUACAAAAUGAUUUUAACCUUUUGAAAUUUAUAGACCAUGACCAAAACCACCGGCUCACCUCCAAAAGAAUAACACUAAGUUAGCAUCAUAUAUGGAUUAUAAUAUGUUUGACACGCCACACACAAGAGGGAGUGACUCUUGGAUUUAAGAAAAGCAUCUUAUGUUAUCAUUUUUAAAGUUUAAAAAUAUCUUGAUUAAAAUAUUUAUAAAUUAGCAACGGAAAGUAAAUAUGUGAAAAAUUAAGAGUUAAGGGUAAGAGAAAUGAAAACAAAUAUUUAAACAGGUUCAAUCAAGAAGACUUAUUCAUGUCCAUAAUAUUUGAUCUUAAGAGUAUUCAGUAAUACUUAGAGAGUUUUGAGUAGGUUAAAAUCUUGAACCCACUAAUACAAGAAAAAAUGAAGUUUCAAAUUAACUUUCAACCAAACAAUGAACGAUGGAGUGAAGUGGUUAGUCUUCCUUCCAAAGAACGAACUUGAAGUGAUUAGUCUCAAAGCUAAAUCGUGAUUUUCUAUGGACUUGUCUCGAACCAAUAUGAGUUUUUAAUCUAACUAAAUUGGGGUUUUGACCAGACUGACCAUGAACCAAGAUGAGAUUUUUAAUCAUGCUUAUCUUGAACCAAAGUGAGUUUUUAACCAUGUUUAAAUCAUGAACUGAGUUGAUAUUUUGAAUAUGGUUGAUAUCAAGCCAAAGUAAGCUUUUAACGUAGGUUGAGCUUAAAAGCCGAACUGACGACUUAGAAACUAAAUCUCCAAACCAAAGCUUUUAAAGGGUUUAACUUUUAAAGAGUGAUGAAUGAGAUACAAGGAUCACUUUUAUGGAUAUGAAAAUGUGAAAGAAAAUGCCUCUAUUUAUAGGCUAAAGCUUUGAUCAAAAAAGGAAAUAUCCAUGGGCCUAAAUUAAUGAGCCAAAAUAAACAAUGUAGAUGUGUUCCAGUGACCUAUUUCAUUCGUUAUGUUCCCGUAUGAUUCUUCAUAUUAAGUUCUCAUAUGGUUCUGCAUUUAGUGUUGUACCUAAGAGAUUAUUGUAUUGCUAUAUUAUAAUUUGUUUUUUUAUUUUUCAUUUCAAGAAUUUUGUAGUUAAGUUUAAUUUUAUUUAAAUCGAGUUCUUCUCUUUUAAUUUCAAAAUAUAUUCAUAGAUUUCAUUCCAGGUAUGUAUCAUGGUCAUUUCAAUCCUACCAUCUAUUAGAAUAAUACGUGUAAUAGUUAAGUUGAAUAACUGUUAUAUUGCUUAUAAGUCUGCACGUUUUUUUACAUGUUCAUGUUAUAGUAUCAAUACACUUCCCACUUUCAAUUUUCAUUUCUCUUAUAUUUUAAAUCUUUUAUUGGUCUCAUAUGUACUAUUCAAUUUUAAAAGAUAUGAAAAUAUAGAUAUUCACUAUAAAAAUGUAAAAAUCUAUUGUUAUAAGUGCAUAUUUUAUAGAAGAUUUGUU
rnacentral:lncRNA from 1 species